rnacentral:rRNA from 1 species
GGGUUGUGAGGUUAAGCGACUAAGCGUACACGGUGGAUGCCCUGGCAGUCAGAGGCGAUGAAGGACGUGCUAAUCUGCGAUAAGCGUCGGUAAGGUGAUAUGAACCGUUAUAACCGGCGAUUUCCGAAUGGGGAAACCCAGUGUGUUUCGACACACUAUCAUUAACUGAAUCCAUAGGUUAAUGAGGCGAACCGGGGGAACUGAAACAUCUAAGUACCCCGAGGAAAAGAAAUCAACCGAGAUUCCCCCAGUAGCGGCGAGCGAACGGGGAGCAGCCCAGAGCCUGAAUCAGUGUGUGUGUUAGUGGAAGCGUCUGGAAAGGCGCGCGAUACAGGGUGACAGCCCCGUACACAAAAAUGCACAUGCUGUGAGCUCGAUGAGUAGGGCGGGACACGUGGUAUCCUGUCUGAAUAUGGGGGGACCAUCCUCCAAGGCUAAAUACUCCUGACUGACCGAUAGUGAACCAGUACCGUGAGGGAAAGGCGAAAAGAACCCCGGCGAGGGGAGUGAAAAAGAACCUGAAACCGUGUACGUACAAGCAGUGGGAGCACGCUUAGGCGUGUGACUGCGUACCUUUUGUAUAAUGGGUCAGCGACUUAUAUUCUGUAGCAAGGUUAACCGAAUAGGGGAGCCGAAGGGAAACCGAGUCUUAACUGGGCGUUAAGUUGCAGGGUAUAGACCCGAAACCCGGUGAUCUAGCCAUGGGCAGGUUGAAGGUUGGGUAACACUAACUGGAGGACCGAACCGACUAAUGUUGAAAAAUUAGCGGAUGACUUGUGGCUGGGGGUGAAAGGCCAAUCAAACCGGGAGAUAGCUGGUUCUCCCCGAAAGCUAUUUAGGUAGCGCCUCGUGAAUUCAUCUCCGGGGGUAGAGCACUGUUUCGGCAAGGGGGUCAUCCCGACUUACCAACCCGAUGCAAACUGCGAAUACCGGAGAAUGUUAUCACGGGAGACACACGGCGGGUGCUAACGUCCGUCGUGAAGAGGGAAACAACCCAGACCGCCAGCUAAGGUCCCAAAGUCAUGGUUAAGUGGGAAACGAUGUGGGAAGGCCCAGACAGCCAGGAUGUUGGCUUAGAAGCAGCCAUCAUUUAAAGAAAGCGUAAUAGCUCACUGGUCGAGUCGGCCUGCGCGGAAGAUGUAACGGGGCUAAACCAUGCACCGAAGCUGCGGCAGCGACGCUUAUGCGUUGUUGGGUAGGGGAGCGUUCUGUAAGCCUGUGAAGGUGUGCUGUGAGGCAUGCUGGAGGUAUCAGAAGUGCGAAUGCUGACAUAAGUAACGAUAAAGCGGGUGAAAAGCCCGCUCGCCGGAAGACCAAGGGUUCCUGUCCAACGUUAAUCGGGGCAGGGUGAGUCGACCCCUAAGGCGAGGCCGAAAGGCGUAGUCGAUGGGAAACAGGUUAAUAUUCCUGUACUUGGUGUUACUGCGAAGGGGGGACGGAGAAGGCUAUGUUGGCCGGGCGACGGUUGUCCCGGUUUAAGCGUGUAGGCUGGUUUUCCAGGCAAAUCCGGAAAAUCAAGGCUGAGGCGUGAUGACGAGGCACUACGGUGCUGAAGCAACAAAUGCCCUGCUUCCAGGAAAAGCCUCUAAGCAUCAGGUAACAUCAAAUCGUACCCCAAACCGACACAGGUGGUCAGGUAGAGAAUACCAAGGCGCUUGAGAGAACUCGGGUGAAGGAACUAGGCAAAAUGGUGCCGUAACUUCGGGAGAAGGCACGCUGAUAUGUAGGUGAAGUCCCUCGCGGAUGGAGCUGAAAUCAGUCGAAGAUACCAGCUGGCUGCAACUGUUUAUUAAAAACACAGCACUGUGCAAACACGAAAGUGGACGUAUACGGUGUGACGCCUGCCCGGUGCCGGAAGGUUAAUUGAUGGGGUUAGCCGCAAGGCGAAGCUCUUGAUCGAAGCCCCGGUAAACGGCGGCCGUAACUAUAACGGUCCUAAGGUAGCGAAAUUCCUUGUCGGGUAAGUUCCGACCUGCACGAAUGGCGUAAUGAUGGCCAGGCUGUCUCCACCCGAGACUCAGUGAAAUUGAACUCGCUGUGAAGAUGCAGUGUACCCGCGGCAAGACGGAAAGACCCCGUGAACCUUUACUAUAGCUUGACACUGAACAUUGAGCCUUGAUGUGUAGGAUAGGUGGGAGGCUUUGAAGUGUGGACGCCAGUCUGCAUGGAGCCGACCUUGAAAUACCACCCUUUAAUGUUUGAUGUUCUAACGUUGACCCGUAAUCCGGGUUGCGGACAGUGUCUGGUGGGUAGUUUGACUGGGGCGGUCUCCUCCUAAAGAGUAACGGAGGAGCACGAAGGUUGGCUAAUCCUGGUCGGACAUCAGGAGGUUAGUGCAAUGGCAUAAGCCAGCUUGACUGCGAGCGUGACGGCGCGAGCAGGUGCGAAAGCAGGUCAUAGUGAUCCGGUGGUUCUGAAUGGAAGGGCCAUCGCUCAACGGAUAAAAGGUACUCCGGGGAUAACAGGCUGAUACCGCCCAAGAGUUCAUAUCGACGGCGGUGUUUGGCACCUCGAUGUCGGCUCAUCACAUCCUGGGGCUGAAGUAGGUCCCAAGGGUAUGGCUGUUCGCCAUUUAAAGUGGUACGCGAGCUGGGUUUAGAACGUCGUGAGACAGUUCGGUCCCUAUCUGCCGUGGGCGCUGGAGAACUGAGGGGGGCUGCUCCUAGUACGAGAGGACCGGAGUGGACGCAUCACUGGUGUUCGGGUUGUCAUGCCAAUGGCACUGCCCGGUAGCUAAAUGCGGAAGAGAUAAGUGCUGAAAGCAUCUAAGCACGAAACUUGCCCCGAGAUGAGUUCUCCCUGACUCC